UACGGGGGGGGGCAAGCGUUGUUCGGAAUUACUGGGCGUAAAGGGCUCGUAGGUGGCCAACUAAGUCAUACGUGAAAUCCCUCGGCUUAACCGGGGAACUGCGUCUGAUACUGGAUGGCUUGAGGUUGGGAGAGGGAUGCGGAAUUCCAGGUGUAGCGGUGAAAUGCGUAGAUAUCUGGAGGAACACCGGUGGCGAAGGCGGCAUCCUGGACCAAUUCUGACACUGAGGAGCGAAAGCCAGGGGGAGCAAAACGGG
rnacentral:rRNA from 1 species